UACAGAGGGGGCAAGCGUUGUUCGGAAUUACUGGGCGUAAAGGGCGCGUAGGCGGCCCGCUAAGUCGAACGUGAAAUCCCCGAGCUCAACUCGGGAACUGCGUCCGAUACUGGCGGGCUUGAAUCCGGGAGAGGGAUGCGGAAUUCCAGGGUGUAGCGGUGAAAUGCGUAGAUAUCUGGAGGAACACCGGUGGCGAAGGCGGCAUCCUGGACCGGCAUUGACGCUGAGGCGCGAAAGCAUGGGGAGCGAACAGG
rnacentral:rRNA from 1 species